rfam:Gossypium raimondii Chr01_contig_258, whole genome shotgun sequence.
UAAAAAAAAUUUCAUCCAUCUAUAUUGUUAAAAAUUAGUGUGAUUGACAGAAUAACUAGACAAUGAUACGUGGCAUGCCACAUGUACCUCAUACUAUUGUAUAAGGACUCGUUUUUUACAACAAAAAUGAGUAAAUUUUUUAAUA